GAAACAACUAAUUUGUGUAGGAACAUCUGAAAAUAUUUUAGUCUGCUGUCACAGUUUUUACCUAUUGUGACUAUAAAUGAAUUGGCUUAUGAACCCUACCUUUGGCUACAUGUCAGAGGGGUACAGCCAAUGGUAUUAAAAAACUACCAAAUGCAAAAUUUUGCAUAUGGAGAAGUAUACAGGUUCUAAAUAAUAAAUUAGAUCACAAAUUUUUGUGUCUUUUUAAUUAGUACUACAGGUUACAUUAUGUGGUUUUUCUACAGGUAUUAAAUAUAUUACAAGUUUUUUUCUUACCAAUGAAUAAUUUGAGUAUCAUUGGUCUAUUUGACCUAUAGAGUAUCCUCUUUCUCAGAGAAUCACCCACAGUGGGUUACCUCACUUUGUGUGUUUAUUUUUUUUCAUUUCCUUUACAUUUUGGCUGUUAGUGUUCCUUUUUUGUCUCCGUGAACAGGGAAUUUUAUAUGUGAGGCUUCAGUUGGUAUUGAUAGAAGUUGCCCUCUGACUGUGCAGAUUGACAUAACUAUCAGGGGGCAGUUGGGCAUAGCUCCGCCCAGCAGAGCCUGCACAGUGAAGAUGCAGCUCAUGGUACUCGCUGUGGAGUGUGGCAGCACGGACCGACAGAUCAGCACUCCUCCACAGCUAAGACAGCCCAGUCCUGCGGCAACACAGCUGCUUGUAAGUGCAAAAAGGUCUGCAGAGACAAGAAGUCUUCACCUAGAGCAACAUCUGGGAACAUCUUUGCAAGUAAGGACCUUGAUAGAUUGAGGAAAUCAUGUGAAAAAGACAAAGGCCUGAUGGCAGGCGGGCACAGGAAGAUGGGCAGUUAGCAUUGGACAUUGCCUUUGACAGGUUAGGCCUUAAUGUAUAUUAAACGAUGCUCUGUGUGCUUCCCAAACACAAGCCUGUCUUGAUCGGUAGAUACUGUGGCGAGGCUAGCUCGUGAGUAUUCCUUUUGUAUCACGCCAGUGUUUUAAAGUUGUGUGUUCGUAUGUCUGCUGUGGUAUUUUUAAGUUCUGGGAGAAGCCUGCUGGCCGUGUCAGCUCACGGCCAUCAGUAGUUACUCAGUAUUGCUGCUCCACGUUUCCCAGUGCACCUUCCAUGCCAGGGCAGUGGCUGCGUGCGUGCAAGCCGCGGGAGCGCCUUCCCGCUCAUUUUAUAUGUAUUUAUAGAAACCAAAUGACCGCAGAUGGCUAUAUGGUGUGGUGUUAAACCAGUGGAACUCUAAUGGCAAUAAAUAUAUGCAUAUGUGUGGGAGAGGGGAAAAGUGGAAAUACAGGUUUACAGCCAGACAUGGUGGGUGAUAGCCCUUCAGUGUAUUUCUCUGUCCCUUCACUGACCUAGAAGGAUUUGAGCUGCUGCAGCUUUAGACAGAAAAUGUCCACAUUUGCUGAUUGUGGGCCAUAAAUAUGCUUUUAGUACUGCUUUGCUGAUGUAUAAAUAAGAAAUCUGUAAUAUGUACUAUAUGUAAUUAUUUUCUUUUGACUUUAUUUCAAAAUGUAUAUUUUCUGAUUAUUAUCAUGAGCUAUAAAGCAAAAAGAUCAAUAUCUGAUAUUCUCCCAAAUAAUAAAUUUUCAAGAUUCAUUGGAGC
rnacentral:lncRNA from 1 species